GACCUCGGAUCAGGUAGGGAUACCCGCUGAACUUAAGCAUAUCAAUAAGCGGAGGAAAAGAAACCAACAGGGAUUGCCUCAGUAACGGCGAGUGAAGCGGCAACAGCUCAAAUUUGAAAUCUGGCCUUAAGCGGGGUCCGAAUUGUAAUUUGCAGAGGGCGUUUCGGGCGACGCGCCGGUCUAAGUCCCUUGGAACGGGGCGUCAUGGAGGGUGAGAAUCCCGUAUGUGACCGGCGACCGAGCCUGUGUGAAACCCCUUCGACGAGUCGAGUUGUUUGGGAAUGCAGCUCAAAGCGGGUGGUAAAUUUCAUCUAAAGCUAAAUACCGGCCAGAGACCGAUAGCGCACAAGUAGAGUGAUCGAAAGAUGAAAAGCACUUUGGAAAGAGAGUCAAAAAGUACGUGAAAUUGUUGAAAGGGAAGCGCUUGCAACCAGACCUGCCCGCGGGUGAUCAGCUGUCCUUCGGGGCGGUGCACUCACCCGCGAUCAGGCCAGCAUCGGUUCGGGCGGCCGGAUAAAGGCCUUGGGAACGUGGCUCCCCUCGGGGAGCGUUAUAGCCCAGGGUGCAAUGCGGCCCGCCCGGACCGAGGACCGCGCUUCGGCUAGGAUGCUGGCGUAAUGGUUGUAAGCGGCCCGUCUUGAAACACGGACCAAGGAGUCGACCAACCGUGCGAGUGUUUGGGCGUCAAACCCACACGCGCAAUGAAAGUGAACGGAGGUGGGAACCCCUCGCGGGGCGCACCAUCGACCGAUCCAGAUGUCUUCGGAUGGAUUUGAGUACGAGCAUGGCUGGUCGGACCCGAAAGAUGGUGAACUAUGCCUGGAUAGGGUGAAGCCAGAGGAAACUCUGGUGGAGGCUCGCAGCGGUUCUGACGUGCAAAUCGAUCGUCAAAUUUGGGCAUAGGGGCGAAAGACUAAUCGAACCAUCUAGUAGCUGGUUCCAGCCGAAGUUC
rnacentral:rRNA from 1 species